rnacentral:lncRNA from 1 species
AGUCUUCUCUGCAGACACCAGCCUGGUGUCCUCCUUCAUCCCAGGCUGCCAGGCUAGGCAGGGGACAGCGGCUGCCCUGGUCCUCACAGCCCUGGCUACGGGGCUGGUGACAGCCAGAUCCUCAUGCUUCUGCGACCUGAGCGCUGCCUUCAGACACCUCUCUGCUGGCGUGUUCCUGGGUCCAUGAUGGAAGAAGGAAAAGUAUUUUUAAAAGACAAUCUGAAGCUCAUACUGUGACUGCAACAUAAAAUGUGUUCACCUGAGGAGACUGCUUUCAUCGCCAGUGUGUCACAGAUGGUGGAAACCUCAGAAGGCCACAGUCCAGAGUAGGGGCUUAAUGCAAGCUGCUGGAACUGAAUAAAGCUGACUUCUCUGAGCUGGAUGGCACCCUGGACAUCAACCAGCCCUUCACCUUCACGUCACACAGGAGGGACACUGGUCCAUAGAGAGGAUGCCUGCUCUGGUCACCAGCUGGAGAGUGGCAGACCUUGGGUACCUGACCUUUGGACUCUGCCACACAGAGCACUUCCUCAGUCCCUCCUGCUGCCCCUGGCAGGGUGGAGCUGGCAGGGCAGCUGAUCCAGGACCGUCCACUUCCAAGCCAGCAGGAGGAUGGAAAAGCAGAAUGGAGGGGAAACAACCUCCUUUGCAGGGCGUGACUCGGAAGUUGGACACAUCAUUUCCAGCCACAUUCCAUGGACCAGAAUUAGCCCUGUGACCAACUCUGGCUGCCAGAAAAUCUGGGAAAUACAGUCUCUGCUUGGGCGAUCAGGCAGGCAGUUAUAUCUUUGGGAACAUCUCUCACCCCCUGGGAACACCUGAGCAGAAACUGAAGGACAUUUAACAGAUUCUCCUUUGUGUCUAAUAAGAAUUGCCCCCAUCAGUCGGGGCUGUCCUAGGUGCUGGGUACAUAGGUCAUCUAUACACAACCCAGCAAUGGAGAGCACACCAUUCCCAGGCUGCAGAUGCAGAAACUGUGGCUCGGAGAGUUAAGCGUCUUGUUCAGAUUCAGUCAGCUGGUAGAUGGCAGGUCUGGGAUUGAGACCCAGGCCUGGCUGGUCCUGCCAGGACACAGUAUCACAGCUUUGACUGGGAGCUUCUUUUUGUUUACAUAUAUUUUUUAUGCUCAAUGUGCAUUCCUUUUGAAAUACACAGAAAAGGGAAAGAAGCCGGAGUCCUGCCUUGUGUAGGAGGGAUAAGUUAGAGGUGUGCACCGGGAUAAAUCUGCCUCCCGCGCUGGCCCUGGCCCUGGCCCUGGCCCUGGCCCUGGCCCUGAUCCUGCUCCUGAUUCUGGUCCUUGGGGCCUGGGCGGCGAUUCCCGGCGCUGGCUGAGCGUCACCGGCCACCAGAGGGCGCUGCCGGGCUACCGGUCCGGUCGCCCGGGGAUCACAGCCUCAGCGGACAGGAAAUGAUCAACAGCUUCUCCUCUCGGAUCCACGUGGACUCAAGGAAUCUCCGGGGGGCAGGACAGGUGCAGAGCCGAGUGCAAAGGUGGAAUUCUAUUCCCAAAGCACAUCCCGCGCCCCUUUCCUCUGCAAAGUCCCGGAACCGCGUGACUCCGGAUGAGUUAUCGGGGCUGGAACCGAGGGUUCAGCCCCCUGCGCCUCUGUGUGUCCCGGUCCCUUUCCUCCAAGUAGACAGGAGGCAUCUCCUCAUCGGCUCAGUUCACAUUCCUCCAGGGGCUCAAAGGGGACCCAGUCCCUGUCUUGGGACACCAAGUCAGGCAGACUCCAGGAGAGAGGAAGGAAGAUGAUUCCCGCGCUCAGGUGGGCGGGUCCUGCUCCCUCUGUUGAAGACCUGAAGACAAAGAUUGACCCUCACCCUUCACCUCCCACCUCUUCCUCACCUUGGAAAAGAAAAACAUUCCUGAGAGGGGGGAUUUGUCAGCAGAAGGCUUUGGGACUAGAACUGCAGCAUCAGCUCUUCCUGGUUCCCCAGCGCCCAGGCCUACCCUGCAGAUGUGGGCUUACUGGCCUCCACGAUCAGUGAGCCGGUUCCUUAAAAUCAACCUCUCUCUCUUCCUCUGUCUCUCCCUCUCUCUCUCUCCCUGUCCACAUCCCAUUGGUUCUGUUUCUCUGGGGAAACCUGACUAAUAAGGGGACUCUCAAGGCCCUGGCUGAGGAUGGCAGGCCUGAAGAUUCUCUGAGGCAUUCAGCAUUGAAUGAGCACCAGCUGGGCGUGGAGCUGUGUCAGGCGCUGGGCACAGGACUCAGCCCCGGAACCAAGUGUGGGCCCACAUGGUGUGGGCCUUUGUCUGUCCCUGUCAUGGCUUUGGACACACGCGUGGCCCAGAGGGGACAACGGAUCUGGGUGGCGAGGUGGGAAAGCUCACCCCAGUAUUCCUCUUGGUGGCAGCAGUCCCUUAAGGGGUCGCCUGAGUCGUGAGACCCACAGGUGUGGACCUCCCCCCCCCCUUCCUCCCCUCUCCCCCAGUGACUUUAUCCAGCACCUGCCCUGCCCAGCCUUGCACAGGUUACCCUGUGACCCACUCACAGGGAGAUAGGGCAGCUUCUUUCUGCCCUCAGGAGCCUUGUUCUCAAGGCAGCUCAUCCAAGAGAAUAACAUACAGUAGAUUGCCACACACAUGACUGUGGCUUAGUCCAGGAAAGCCACUUAUAAAAUCCGGAGGUGAAGGAAGAAAAGAUUGAAAUCUCUGUAACAAAUCCAUUUCCCUCCUCCCUCCCUCCCUUCAUCUCCAAAGUAGACCUGCCCCAGGGCCAGGGAUCCUCUCCCUGCAAGGCUAGGUAACAAGCGGAUUUUUGCUUUUGAGCUUCAAGGUCCUGGCUUCUGGUGGUUUAUAGGUGAUCUUUGAGGGUGGUUUUGACGAGAGGCUUGUUAGCUUCUCUACGCUUUUGAAACGCCCACUCUCCCCACAAGAAUCUGGGACUUUGCAGAACCGGUCCAAGGUGAGAGUAGGAUUAAUUGCCAAAUGAGUUUUCUCAUAAGCCUGGGGUCCAAAGUACAUUGGACAGCCAGCAAAUGCUUAUGAGGGGUUUGAACAAGUGAAAUCAAGGCUCAAGGUCAUAGGACUCAAUGGAGAGUGAGGCAGCUGGGAUCUGGGAUGACCGGCAUGGGCCUCAAAGCAGGGGGCUUGGAAAUAGGCCCUGAAGAGGGGGUCGCUUGCGUGGCUAGGAAGGGGUUGGGGCCCACUAGCAUUUCUCAGAAUGCCUAUUUUCUUCGGCAGUGAGAGCUGGAGGGAGGGAUGGGUUUCUCAGCACAGUUCCAGUAUGAGUGGCUGUCACCACAGGGCGCCAUUGCCAAGUCAGAAAGAAACAAAGCUUAACCGCUGCCUCCUGUCCCCCAUGGUCUGUGAAAGUCUCAUACUGUAGUGCGUCUAAUGGUGGCCCCCCAAAAGAUACAUCUACAUUAUAAUUCCUGGGACCCAGAAAUGUGACCUUAUUUGGAAAAAGGGUCUUUGACCUUAUUUGGAAAAAGCGUCUUUACAAAUGUAAGUGACCUUAUUUGGAAAAAGUGUCUUUACAAAUGUAAUUUACAACAUUGAAUGAGCAAAAAAAAAAAAAAAAAA